UCGCUGCUUGCCUUUCUUCUUCUGUUGGCAGUUGGAGGUGCCCUCGUCAGCAUCCUCCUCCCGCUUUGCCUUGCCUUUGGAGCGGUCGAAGAUCGCUCCAACGGCCUCUUCGCCCGAGGCGUAGCUGGUGGCAAUAUUGAGGAGCUCCUCCGUGGUUCGCGGGCCUCGGCGCCCUAGCUCGUGGACGAGGGGUCGGCAGGAGGUUCCCACCA
rnacentral:lncRNA from 1 species